UGGGAUAUAGCCAAGCGGAAAGGCAACUGGCUCUGAACCAGUGAUGCGAUGGUCCGAAUCCAUCUAUCCCAACCA
rnacentral:tRNA from 1 species